rnacentral:rRNA from 1 species
GACAGAGGGGCCGAGCGUUAGGCGGAAUCACUGGGCUUAAAGCGUGUGUAGGCGGACGUCUAAGUACCUUGUGAAAUCCCACGGCUCAACCGUGGAACGGCUUGGUAUACUGGGCGUCUUGAGCCACUUAGGGGUCGUCGGAACAAGCGGUGGAGCGGUGAAAUGCGUAGAUAUCGUAAGGAAGACCAGUGGCGAAGGCGGGUCUCUGGACAGUUCCUGACGCUGAGGCACGAAGGCCAGGGGAGCAAACGGG